rnacentral:lncRNA from 1 species
CUGAAGACCUGGCUUGGUAUGAAUGCCUCCCUUACUCCAGCAGAUGUAACAGAUCUGAAAGAUACUAUGAAAGAAUCACGGGGCAACAGACCGAAGAAAUGCAGUAGAUACACUAUAGGAGACUACGUCCCAGGAAGCAUGAUGUAUAUGACCCAGGAAACCACAAGAUGACCACUACAGGUUAUGACACCUGGUUUCUAUACAAAAGGGAAAGAGGCCCCUGGCCAAGGCCUGGUAUAUACCAAUGGCUACAGUCACAGCACAAUACCAAAAGAGACAACAGUUGGGCCAUGUUUAGCUACUUGGCAUCAGGAAG